GCCGGGCAGGGUGAGAGCACAGUAGUGCUUUGCCAUCAAGGAAACCGCAGGAACAAGCGGAGAUAUUAUCUCUGACAUCUGGCUCCGAGCAGGGAGCUCUGGCUGCCGUCCCUAAUGGACGGGAUGGCCCCGGGGCUGCUUUUUGUUUCAGGGCUCCUCGUGGCUUCCCCGGCAACAGCAGAGAUGGAUGCCAGAGCUGGGGACACACAGACAGCACCGCCACCCUUCCCCUGCCCUCUGCAGAGCCGGCGGUGACCUCGGCGUGACCGGAGAGCAGCGAUGUGUCCUCAGUGUCCUCAGCCACCCUUUAACCCCAGAACCAGCCUUUCAUCCGGAGAUCAGAAAUCCGAGUUCUCCCUGUGUCCAGCUUGAGCAGAAAAACUCCAUCUGCAAGGCACAGUCGGGAUCUCAGAUCCUACACACACCUCAGAGCAAGGUCUAGUGAUC